rnacentral:rRNA from 1 species
CCUACCGGAGGCUGCAGUGGGGAAUAUUGGACAAUGGGCGAAAGCCUGAUCCAGCCAUGCCGCGUGUGUGAAGAAGGCCUUCGGGUUGUAAAGCACUUUCAGUGGGGAAGAAAGCCUUGGGGCUAAUACCCUCGAGGAAGGACAUCACCCACAGAAGAAGCACCGGCUAACUCCGUGCCAGCAGCCGCGGUAAUACGGAGGGUGCGAGCGUUAAUCGGAAUUACUGGGCGUAAAGCGCGCGUAGGCGGUCUGAUAAGCCGGUUGUGAAAGCCCCGGGCUCAACCUGGGAACGGCAUCCGGAACUGUCAGGCUAGAGUGCAGGAGAGGAAGGUAGAAUUCCCGGUGUAGCGGUGAAAUGCGUAGAGAUCGGGAGGAAUACCAGUGGCGAAGGCGGCCUUCUGGACUGACACUGACGCUGAGGUGCGAAAGCGUGGGUAGCAAACAGGAUUAGAUACCCUGGUAGUC